rnacentral:rRNA from 1 species
AUGCCAGACUCCUACGGGAGGCAGCAGUGAGGAAUAUUGGUCAAUGGGCGAGAGCCUGAACCAGCCAAGUCGCGUGAGGGAGUACUGCCCUACGGGUUGUAAACCUCUUUUGUCAGGGAGCAAGGUGCAGGUCGGGACCUGCUGUGAGAGUACCUGAAGAAAAAGCAUCGGCUAACUCCGUGCCAGCAGCCGCGGUAAUACGGAGGAUGCGAGCGUUAUCCGGAUUUAUUGGGUUUAAAGGGUGCGCAGGCGGAAUGUCAAGUCAGCGGUAAAAUUUCGGGGCUCAACCCCGUCGUGCCGUUGAAACUGGCGUUCUUGAGUGAGCGAGAAGUAUGCGGAAUGCGUGGUGUAGCGGUGAAAUGCUUAGAUAUCACGAAGAACCCCGAUUGCGAAGGCAGCCUGCCGCAGCGUUACUGACGCUGAAGCUCGAAAGCGCGGGUAUCGAACAGGAUUAGAUACCCCCGUAC